GAAGAAGAACGUAGCGAAAUGCGAUAAGUAAUGUGAAUUGCAGAAUUCAGUGAAUCAUCGAAUCUUUGAACGCACAUUGCGCCCCCUGGUAUUCCGGGGGGCAUGCCUGUCCGAGCGUCAUUACAACCCUCAAGCUCAGCUUGGUGUUGGGCCCCGCCGCCCCGGCGGGCCCUAAAGUCAGUGGCGGUGCCGUCCGGCUCCGAGCGUAGUAAUUCUUCUCGCUCUGGAGGUCCGGUCGUGUGCUCGCCAGCAACCCCCAAUUUUUUUCAGGUUGACCUCGGAUCAGGUAGGGAUACCCGCUGAACUUAAGCAUAUCAAUAAGCGGAGGA
rnacentral:misc_RNA from 1 species